rnacentral:rRNA from 1 species
GGGGGAUAUUGCACAAUGGGGGAAACCCUGAUGCAGCAACGCCGCGUGUGGGAAGAAGGUUUUCGGAUUGUAAACCACUGUUCUUGGUGAAGAUAAUGACGGUAACCAAGGAGAAAGCUCCGGCUAACUACGUGCCAGCAGCCGCGGUAAUACGUAGGGAGCAAGCGUUGUCCGGAUUUACUGGGUGUAAAGGGUGCGUAGGCGGCUAGGCAAGUCAGACGUGAAAACCAUGGGCUCAACCUGUGGACUGCGUUUGAAACUGUUUAGCUUGAGUGAAGUAGAGGUAGGCGGAAUUCCCGGUGUAGCGGUGAAAUGCGUAGAGAUCGGGAGGAACACCAGUGGCGAAGGCGGCCUACUGGGCUUUAACUGACGCUGAGGCACGAAAGCAUGGGUAGCAAAC